AGAAAGCAGCUGGGAAGUAUGCUGUUUCUUCUUUCCAACUCAUUCCCAGAUAACCGAUUAUUCCUCCUCCCAGGGGAAGAGUGAAGGACAGAAUGGAAAGAGGCCAGGAGCGUUGUGUUCUCUCCAAAUGGAGGGAAACCUCUGGAAUGGGGAAGAGGCAUCUCCUAACAUGGCGUGGUCCUAGAAGGCAACCGAGUGUUUUCGAGAAGACUUCGUAUUUUUUAUGCCACCGCUAGAGAAGAGAGAGCAGAGGGAGAUUUGAUUCCAGAAGAGAAAGCAUGUGACCCCAGAGACAAAGCCUGGAGUAGAUGUAGCCACAAGCCAAGGGAUGGAGCUGCCACAAGAAGCUGGAAGAAUCAAGGAACAUGUUCUCCCCCUAGGUCCUCUGGAAAGAACAGUCCUGCUGACACCUUGACUUGAACUGAUCUGUCAAGACACUCGGAUAAUUCAUCUGAUCACAUGGAUUUCCAUUCCAGGCCUUGAGAGACAAGAAAUCCGGUCAUCACAGAGAGCCUGGGCAAUUAAACUGAAUCAGCGCUCCCGGUCUCAGCGGAUGUCUUCUGGGUUACCAUGGGGGACAUGGGUUGGUAUGAGGUUUAAUCAGGCACUAACAGCACCUUGCUGGGAACUUCAUGGUUGAUAAAGGCAGCUGCAUCAGACCAAGUAGCUCCUACUUUUUAAAGAGAAAGCAGCCUCUUUUGAAAUGUAAAAAAGGCAGGCUUUGUUGCAACGUGCAGUAUGAAGAGAAUCUGAGAGGAGUUGCAGUUGUUUCUUUCAUAGUCCUAGCAUUCUUUUUGGGUCUCAAUAAUAAAGUGAAAGGCACCUCUUAAGGCUAAAUUUUUAAGGGUUCCCUAUGAACCCCAAGCUGGACAGCCCUGCGGGCCCCAUUGCUGGUUCGCUAUUAUGUAGGGUUUCACUAUUACACUUGUCUUUGUCACAUCGCUUUGUGAAUGACAUUGGUCACAACUAGGUUCUUGUGCCAUUUUGAAUAGCUGGAUUCAUGUGCAACAAAAAAAAAAAAAGUGACCAAUAAAAAAAAAAAAAAUGAGAGAGAGGGAAAGGGAGAGAGAAAUACUGUCCAAAUGGGGCCCAAGUGUGUGUGAACCGGAGGCUCUUCUGAGGUCUAACUGCACUUGUCUCUGAGGAGGAGAAAUGAUCUCGAAGGAGUUAUUCUUUGCCCUGGAAUUUCAUUUUGCAGUAACUAUUUUCAGGCAGUUUUUAGCCUCAAUGAAGGUGGGAGGGGCGGUUGAUAGUCCUAUUAAAAGAAGCCUUAAUUUGCCUAUA